ensembl:snRNA U6 U6 spliceosomal RNA
GUGCUCGCUUUGGCAGCACAUCUACUAAAAUUGGAACGAUACAGAGAAGAUUAGCAUGGCCCCUGCACAAGGAUGACAUGCAAAUUCAUGAAGCGUUCCAUAUUUUU